UACAGAGGGGGCCAGCGUUAUUCGGAAUUAUUGGGCGUAAAGGGCGCGUAGGCGGCUUUGCGUGUCUUUCGUGAAAUCCCUCGGCUCAACUGAGGACGUGCGGAAGAAACUGCAGGGCUCGAGUCCGGGAGAGGGGGUGGAAUUCCCAGUGUAGCGGUGGAAAUGCGUAGAUAUUGGGAGGAACACCGGUGGCGAAGGCGGCCCCUGGACCGGUACUGACGCUGAUGCGCGAAAGCGUGGGAGCAA
rnacentral:rRNA from 1 species